rnacentral:rRNA from 1 species
UGACCUCAAAUCAGGUAGGACUACCCGCUGAACUUAAGCAUAUCAAUAAGCGGAGGAAAAGAAACUAACAAGGAUUCCCCUAGUAACUGCGAGUGAAGAGGGAAAAGCUCAAAUUUAAAAUCUGGCAGUUCCACUGUCCGAGUUGUAAUUAGAGAAG